rnacentral:piRNA from 2 species
UCCAGUCUAACUUGGGAUGCUGUGA